UGCCUAUACAUGCAGUCGAACGAGCUUCCGUUGAAUGACGUGCUUGCACUGAUUUCAACAAUGAAGCGAGUGGCGAACUGGUGAGUAACACGUGGGAAAUCUGCCCAGAAGCAGGGGAUAACACUUGGAAACAGGUGCUAAUACCGUAUAACAACAAAAUCCGCAUGGAUUUUGUUUGAAAGGUGGCUUCGGCUAUCACUUCUGGAUGAUCCCGCGGCGUAUUAGUUAGUUGGUGAGGUAAAGGCCCACCAAGACGAUGAUACGUAGCCGACCUGAGAGGGUAAUCGGCCACAUUGGGACUGAGACACGGCCCAAACUCCUACGGGAGGCAGCAGUAGGGAAUCUUCCACAAUGGACGAAAGUCUGAUGGAGCAAUGCCGCGUGAGUGAAGAAGGGUUUCGGCUCGUAAAACUCUGUUGUUAAAGAAGAACACCUUUGAGAGUAACUGUUCAAGGGUUGACGGUAUUUAACCAGAAAGCCACGGCUAACUACGUGCCAGCAGCCGCGGUAAUACGUAGGUGGCAAGCGUUGUCCGGAUUUAUUGGGCGUAAAGCGAGCGCAGGCGGUUUUUUAAGUCUGAUGUGAAAGCCUUCGGCUUAACCGGAGAAGUGCAUCGGAAACUGGGAGACUUGAGUGCAGAAGAGGACAGUGGAACUCCAUGUGUAGCGGUGGAAUGCGUAGAUAUAUGGAAGAACACCAGUGGCGAAGGCGGCUGUCUAGUCUGUAACUGACGCUGAGGCUCGAAAGCAUGGGUAGCGAACAGGAUUAGAUACCCUGGUAGUCCAUGCCGUAAACGAUGAGUGCUAAGUGUUGGAGGGUUUCCGCCCUUCAGUGCUGCAGCUAACGCAUUAAGCACUCCGCCUGGGGAGUACGACCGCAAGGUUGAAACUCAAAGGAAUUGACGGGGGCCCGCACAAGCGGUGGAGCAUGUGGUUUAAUUCGAAGCUACGCGAAGAACCUUACCAGGUCUUGACAUCUUCUGCCAUCUUAGAGAUAAGACGUUCCCUUCGGGGACAGAAUGACAGGUGGUGCAUGGUUGUCGUCAGCUCGUGUCCUGAGAAGUUUGGGUUAAGUCCCGCAACGAGCGCAACCCUUAUUAUCAGUUGCCAGCAUUCAUUUGGGCACUCUGGUGAGACUGCCGUGACAACCCAAGAAGAGGGGGGGGGAGAAGCCAAACAAUAAGGGCCCUUAUAACCGGGGGUACACCCGGUCCAAUGGAAGGGACAC
rnacentral:rRNA from 2 species